CACGUAGGCACCAAGCGUUGUCCGGAUUUAUUGGGAGUAAAGAGUUCGUAGGCGGCUUAGUAAGUCGGGUGUGAAAACUCUGGGCUUAACCCAGAGCCGCCACUCGAUACUGCUCUGACUUGAGUUCGGUAGGGGAGCAGGGAAUUCCUAGUGUAGCGGUGAAAUGCGCAGAUAUUAGGAGGAACACCGGUGGCGAAGGCGCUGCUCUGGGCCGAAACUGACGCUGAGGAGCGAAAGCGUGGGGAGCGAACAGG
rnacentral:rRNA from 1 species